UGCAAGAUUGUUUUGCAGUACAAGCAUCACAUUGAUUUCCUUAUUCAGAAGCACUACACACUGACAUUUUUUAGAUUUCCUUUCCGCUCUGAAGGCGCCCAGUGUUAAAAUAGAAGGAAGUGUGGUUCCGUCCCAAAGCACGCAAUCACCUUUCCGUUCUCAUAAGAGCCUGCUGAUAACAGCAUGUGGAUGCUCUCAGCUUUUCGUAUUAGGGAAACAAUCGCUGCAGAAAAAGACAUCUCCUGCCUAAAAUCUCAGGACUUAAUUGCGUCACAAGCACUUUCAAUGUCACGAAACGAAUGAAUUUGAUUCAAAGCCAUGAUAUGGAUGGUGGGCUUUUGUCUGAGUGCUUUAAUCUGUGGUCUUCCUCUGACUCCAUAGGAUCCAUUGAGAUCCAUAUGAGAGCCAUUGACCACGUUCAACAGACCGUUCAUUCAGUGACUCAGAGCAGGAAGUCUAGCGAAAGCAUGCAUGCUUAACACAAUGCAACAAUGCAGUCACCAUCCCUGUGGAUUCAAGACAAGCCAAUGGGAUUCGUCAAACACAUCCAAUACAACAAGUUUAUUACAUACAUGAGAAAAGGAAAACAAAUGAUA